rnacentral:lncRNA from 1 species
GUCGCCAGCCCCUGAGCAACGGCCGCACCCCGUCGCGCGUGGCUGAAUCCCAGCCUGCACCGCGUGUGGCUCAAUCCCAGCCUGCACCGCGAGGCUUCCUUCCGGUGCACCCUGCCGGCGCCCGCGUCUUCUGCUGACAGGCCGAGGUUCCUGGACUUCAGGAACUCUUUCAAGGAGGACGGGUUUGUGGUCUCCAAAGUGUUUCUGCAGCGCUGGCAGGGGUCUGCUUGCUACGCUUCCCCCUUCCACAGCCAAAAUCUGUGUCUCCCACCGACGCCAGCACUGGGCUGGGCACACAGCACAGAAAGCUCUGCCAAAUGCCCAGGUCCCUGCAGUCGAGGCGCUCGCACUCUAGCGUGAGGAAUGACCAGGCUCCAGACUCGGGACAACGGGAGCGCACCCGGAAGGGGGCCCGCGGGCCCAGGGGCUGGCCCGGCCUAGCACGGAGGAAGAAGGGGCCCUUGGCCCUGGCCCCAAGUGCGCCGUGGCCCCUGUCGUCCACUGCCACCACUCUCGGAGCCUCUCACCACAGCGUCCUCCGGGAACCACUGGAACAUAGCACUGCCACUUCUGGACAAGCAGAGAGAAAGAGACACAAGGUAACAAGCAGUUGGCAGGAACACAGCUGUGACCACAGCUCAAGGACACCAGGACCCAGGUUCUUGGUCCUCUUUGGUUUUCUUCACCACAGACCAAUGGUUGCUCCUACUCCUCUGGAAGCUUCUCUGCAUUAGACGAAGGGAAAUCAGGUCUUCUGAAAUCUGAGUAUUCUUCAUCUGUAUUGGUGUUGAGUUUUGGGUGAAGGUUCAGGUAGGUUCUUGUUUUCCUUGAAGUGUUCCUGUCUGUAGAUGUCCUGGUUAAUGAAGCUGAGUAAUGUGAUCCAAGGUGGAAAAUGUUUUACUGAGGUCACUAAGAGUUUGGCAUGAAUAAGGCCUGAACAAGGAUUUAGCAUUAACUUCCUUGGUUCCCAAAAUUGAACUAACUUUUUAAGACCCUUCUUUAAAGGAUAUGUUUCCAAAUUGCCAUAUACCAUCCAAGUAGUCAACAAAAAAGAAUGAAUUUUUUAUGGGUCUUCCCUUAGUCUGCUUCUAAUCCUAUAUAAAAGUUGGGGCUGAUCAGAGUCCUACAGAAAGAAAUAAGAAACUCAGAUUUUUAAAUAAAAGUUUUUCCUUUUUAUGGCA